UACGGAGGGGGCUAGCGUUGUUCGGAAUUACUGGGCGUAAAGCGCACGUAGGCGGCUUUGCAAGUUAGAGGUGAAAGCCCGGGGCUCAACUCCGGAAUUGCCUUUAAAACUGCAUCGCUAGAGUUGUGGAGAGGUAAGUGGAAUUCCCGGUGUAGAGGUGAAAUUCGUAGAUAUCGGGAGGAACACCGGUGGCGAAGGCGGCGACCUGGGUAGAUACUGACGCUGAUGCACGAAAGCGUGGGGAGCAAACAGG
rnacentral:rRNA from 1 species